AAGCAGAGAACAAGCUUGGAGCUUUUUUUCCAUGACUUCGUAUCAAGUGCUUCAUCAUUCUGCAAUUAAAGCAAGAAGGUAGCGUAUCAAGUGAGCCGACACAAGAGGAAGUAAUGCUUUUGAGAAAUAUAGAUAAAAUAUGACACUUCAGCGAUCUUACGCUGAUCCUAUCAACAAGAGGGUGCCAUCACUGAAGCUGAAAGCACGAACGGAAU